UUCCAGACUCCUACGGGAGGCAGCAGUUGGGAAUAUUGGACAAUGGAGGAAACUCUGAUCCAGUGACGCCGCGUGAAGGAAGAAGGUCUUCGGAUUGUAAACUUAUUUUGUCAGGGAAGAAAAAAAUGACUGUACCUGAAGAAAAAGCACCGGCUAACUACGUGCCAGCAGCCGCGGUAAUACGUAGGGUGCAAGCGUUAUCCGGAUUUACUAGGUGUAAAGGGCGAGUAGACGGCGUUGCAAGUCAGAUGUGAAAACCUAGGGCUCAACCGUAGGACUGCAUCUGAAACUGUAAUGCUAGAGUGCAGGAGAGGUAAGCGGAAUUCCUAGUGUAGCGGUGAAAUGCGUAGAUAUUAGGAGGAACACCAGUGGCGAAGGCGGCUUACUGGACUGUAACUGACGUUGAGGAGCGAAAGUGUGGGGAGCAAACAGGAUUAGAUACCCUGGUAGC
rnacentral:rRNA from 1 species